rnacentral:ncRNA from 2 species
ACGACGAAACAGGGGUGCUUCGAGCGCGGUCCACACAUGGCGCGGCGAGGCUGAGAAAGACCCUUCGCACCCGAUCCGGGUAAUACCGGCGAGGGAAG